rnacentral:misc_RNA from 1 species
CGCACAUUGCGCCUGCUAGUAUUCUGGCAGGCAUGCCUGUUCGAGCGUCAUUUCAACCCUCAAGCCCUAGCUGCUUGGUGUUGGGGCAUCUACGGAGCUUUCCGUAGGCCCCGAAAGACAGUGGCGGUCUCGCUAAGACUCCGAGCGCAGUAGUUUUUUUCUCGCUUAGGGUGUCUGUGCGGGUGCCAGCCGUUAAACCCCCCAUACUUUUAUAAGUGGUUUGACCUCGGAUCAGGUAGGAAUACCCGCUGAACUUAA